rnacentral:rRNA from 1 species
GAUGAACGCUAGCGGCAGGCCCAACACAUGCAAGUCGAGGGGCAGCGAGAUGUAGCAAUACAUUGUCGGCGACCGGCGUAAGGGUGCGUAACACGUGAGUAACUUGCCCGUAACAGGGGGAUAAGCGAUGGAAACGUCGUCUAAUACCCCAUAAUAAUUGUUAUCGCAUGAUGAUGAUUUGAAAAUUCCGAUGGUUACGGAUAGACUCGCGUUACAUUAGCUAGUUGGUGAGGUAACGGCUCACCAAGGCGACGAUGUAUAGGGGUUCUGAGAGGAAGAUCCCCCACACUGGAACUGAGACACGGUCCAGACUCCUACGGGAGGCAGCAGUGAGGAAUAUUGGACAAUGGAGGGAACUCUGAUCCAGCCAUGCCGCGUGAAGGACUAAGGCCCUAUGGGUCGUAAACUUCUUUUGACGCAGAGCAAUAAGAGAUACGAGUAUUUUGAUGAGAGUAUGCGUCGAAUAAGCAUCGGCUAACUCCGUGCCAGCAGCCGCGGUAAUACGGAGGAUGCGAGCGUUAUCCGGGAUUUAUUGGGUUUAAAGGGUGCGUAGGCGGUUGUACAAGUCAGUGGUGAAAUACGAACGCUCAACGUUCGGGCUGCCAUUGAAACUGUACGGCUAGAGUUCGGAUGCCGUGGGAGGAAUGAGUAGUGUAGCGGUGAAAUGCAUAGAUAUUACUCAGAACACCGAUUGCGAAGGCAUCUCACGAAUGCGAAACUGACGCUGAUGCACGAAAGCGUGGGGAUCAAACAGGAUUAGAUACCCUGGUAGUCCACGCUGUAAACGAUGAUAACUAACUGCCGGCGAUAAACGGUCGGUGGCCAAGCGAAAGCGAUAAGUUAUCCACCUGGGGAGUACGACCGCAAGGUUGAAACUCAAAGGAAUUGACGGGGGCCCGCACAAGCGGAGGAACAUGUGGUUUAAUUCGAUGAUACGCGAGGAACCUUACCCAGGCUCGAACGGCAUAUGAAUAUUGCAGAGAUGUGAUAGUCUUCGGACAUAUGUCGAGGUGCUGCAUGGUUGUCGUCAGCUCGUGCCGUGAGGUGUCGGCUUAAGUGCCAUAACGAGCGCAACCCUUGUCGUUAGUUACCAUCAAGUAAAGUUGGGGACUCUAACGAGACUGCCACCGCAAGGUGUGAGGAAGGGGGGGAUGACGUCAAAUCAGCACAGCCCUUACGUCUGGGGCGACACACGUGUUACAAUGGUAGGUACAGAGGGCAGCUAUUGAGUGAUCAAGUGCAAAUCUCAAAAACCUAUCUCAGUUCGGACUGGAGUCUGCAACCCGACUCCACGAAGCUGGAUUCGCUAGUAAUCGCGCAUCAGCCAUGGCGCGGUGAAUACGUUCCCGGGCCU